AUUGAACGCUGGCGGCAUGCCUUACACAUGCAAGUCGAACGGUAACAGGUCUUCGGAUGCUGACGAGUGGCGAACGGGUGAGUAAUACAUCGGAACGUGCCUAGUAGUGGGGGAUAACUACUCGAAGGAGUGGCUAAUACCGCAUGAGAUCUACGGAUGAAAGCAGGGGAUCGCAAGGCCUUGUGCUACUAGAGCGGCCGAUGGCAGAUUAGGUAGUUGGUGGGAUAAAAGCUUACCAAGCCGACGAUCUGUAGCUGGUUGGAGAGGACGAUCAGCCACACUGGGACUGAGACACGGCCCAGACUCCUGCGGGAGGCAGCAGUGGGGGAUUUUGGACAAUGGGCGCAAGCCUGAUCCAGCAAUGCCGCGUGCAGGAUGAAGGCCUUCGGGUUGUAAACUGCUUUUGUACGGAACGAAAAGCCCUGGGUUAAUACCCUGGGGUCAUGACGGUACCGUAAGAAUAAGCACCGGCUAACUACGUGCCAGCCGCCGCCGUAACAC
rnacentral:rRNA from 1 species